AAUGAACGCUGGCGGCGUGCUUAACACAUGCAAGUCGAACGAGAAAGCUUCUUCGGAAGCGAGUACAGUGGCGAACGGGUGCGUAACACGUGAGAACUUGCCCUUCAGUGAAGAAUACCCUCGAGAAAUCGAGGCUAAUACUGCAUACGUCCCUUCGGGGAGAAAGGUGGCCUCUUGCUACCGCUGAUGGAUAGGCUCGCGGACUAUUAGCUUGUUGGUGAGGUAAAGGCUCACCAAGGCGAUGAUGGUUAGCCGACCUGAGAGGGUGAUCGGCCACAUUGGGACUGAGAUACGGCCCAGACUCCUACGGGAGGCAGCAGUGGGGAAUAUUGCACAAUGGGCGAAAGCCUGAUGCAGCGACGCCGCGUGGAGGAUGACGGUUUUCGGAUUGUAAACUCCUGUUAAGUGGGAAGAAAAGCUCAUAAGUAAUAUGUAUGAGUGUUGACGGUACCACUAAAGAAAGCUCCGGCUAACUUCG
rnacentral:rRNA from 1 species